GGUUUGAGGUUUUCUCGGCAGUUAACUGCCGAAGUUUUCAGUUUUCCUCGGCAGUUAACUGCCGAGGGGUAU
rnacentral:pre_miRNA from 1 species